rnacentral:rRNA from 1 species
GAUGAACGCUGGCGGCGUGCCUAAUACAUGCAAGUCGAGCGAACGGACGAGAAGCUUGCUUCUCUGAUGUUAUCGGCGGACGGGUGAGUAACACGUGGAUAACCUACCUAUAAGACUGGGAUAACUUCGGGAAACCGGAGCUAAUACCGGAUAAUAUUUUGAACCGCAUGGUUCAAAAGUGAAAGACGGUCUUGCUGUCACUUAUAGAUGGAUCCGCGCUGCAUUAGCUAGUUGGUAAGGUAACGGCUUACCAAGGCAACGAUGCAUAGCCGACCUGAGAGGGUGAUCGGCCACACUGGAACUGAGACACGGUCCAGACUCCUACGGGAGGCAGCAGUAGGGAAUCUUCCGCAAUGGGCGAAAGCCUGACGGAGCAACGCCGCGUGAGUGAUGAAGGUCUUCGGAUCGUAAAACUCUGUUAUUAGGGAAGAACAUAUGUGUAAGUAACUGCGCACAUCUUGACGGUACCUAAUCAGAAAGCCACGGCUAACUACGUG